CAGCCGCCGCGGUAAUACGAAGGGUGCAAGCGUUACUCGGAAUUACUGGGCGUAAAGCGUGCGUAGGUGGUGGUUUAAGUCCGUUGUGAAAGCCCUGGGCUCAACCUGGGAAUUGCAGUGGAUACUGGGUCACUAGAGUGUGGUAGAGGAUAGUGGAAUUUCCGGUGUAGCAGUGAAAUGCGUAGAGAUCGGAAGAAACAUCUGUGGCGAAGGCGACUAUCUGGGCCAACACUGACACUGAGGCACGAAAGCGUGGGGAGCAAACAGGAUUAGAUACCCCCGUAGUCCCUGUCUCUUAUAC
rnacentral:rRNA from 1 species